rnacentral:rRNA from 1 species
UUAAAGCGGUACGCGAGCUGGGUUCAGAACGUCGUGAGACAGUUCGGUCCCUAUCCUCCGCAGGCGCAAGAGGAUUGAGGAGGUCUGCCCCUAGUACGAGAGGACCGGGGUGGACGGACCUCUGGUGCAGCAGUUGUCGACCAACGGCACGGCUGCCUAGCUACGUCCGGCACGGAUAACCGCUGAAAGCAUCUAAGUGGGAAGCCGUCUCCGAGAUGAGUCCUCUCUCCGGUAAGGGCCCUCGUAGACCACGAGGUCGAUAGGGCGCAGGUGCAAGCGGGGCGACCCGCUCAGCCGAGCGCUACUAAUAGCCCGAGCUCUUCUUCAC